GACGAACGCUGGCGGCGUGCUUAACACAUGCAAGACGAAUGGAAAGGCCCUGCUUUUGUGGGGUGCUCGAGUGGCGAACGGGUGAGUAACACGUGAGUAACCUGCCCUUGACUUUGGGAUAACUUCAGGAAACUGGGGCUAAUACCGGAUAGGAGCUCCUGCUGCAUGGUGGGGGUUGGAAAGUUUCGGCGGUUGGGGAUGGACUCGCGGCUUAUCAGCUUGUUGGUGGGGUAGUGGCUUACCAAGGCUUUGACGGGUAGCCGGCCUGAGAGGGUGACCGGCCACAUUGGGACUGAGAUACGGCCCAGACUCCUACGGGAGGCAGCAGUGGGGAAUAUUGCACAAUGGGCGGAAGCCUGAUGCAGCAACGCCGCGUGCGGGAUGACGGCCUUCGGGUUGUAAACCGCUUUCGCCUGUGACGAAGCGUGAGUGACGGUAAUGGGUAAAGAAGCACCGGCUAACUACGUG
rnacentral:rRNA from 1 species